UUCGCAAUGCCCGAAAGGGUGACGAAGCGACGCCGCGUGGGUGAGGAAGGCCUUCGGGUUGUAAAGCCCUGUCAGGAGUUAAGAAAUGUAAGUGCGCUAAUAUCGCAUUUAUUUGACGAAGGCUCCAAAGGAAGCCACGGCUAACUCUGUGCCAGCAGCCGCGGUAAUACAGAGGUGGCAAGCGUUGUUCGGAAUUAUUGGGCGUAAAGAGCACGUAGGUGGGUUUGUAAGUCAGAUGUGAAAGCCUUCUGUUCACCGGAAGAAUUGCAUCUGAAACUGCGAGUCUUGAGUGUAGGAGGGGAGAAUGGAACUUCUGGUGGAGCGGUGAAAUGCGUAGAUAUCAGAAGGAACGCCGGCGGCGAAAGCGAUUCUCUGGCCUAUUACUGACACUCAGUGUGCGAAAGCUAGGGGAGCAAACGGGAUUAGAUACCCCGGUAGUCCUAGCCGUAAACGAUGGGCACUAAGUAGAGGGGUUUU
rnacentral:rRNA from 1 species